rnacentral:rRNA from 1 species
CCCUAGUAACUGCGAGUGAAGCGGGAAAAGCUCAAAUUUAAAAUCUGGUGGCCUUUGGCCGUCCGAGUUGUAAUUUAGAGAAGCGUCUUCCGCGCUGGACCGUGCACAAGUCUCCUGGAAUGGAGCGUCAUAGAGGGUGAGAAUCCCGUCUUUGGCACGGACACCUGGUGCUUCUGUGAUGCGCUCUCGAAGAGUCGAGUUGUUUGGGAAUGCAGCUCAAAAUGGGUGGUGAACUCCAUCUAAAGCUAAAUAUUGGCGAGAGACCGAUAGCGAACAAGUACCGUGAGGGAAAGAUGAAAAGCACUUUGGAAAGAGAGUGAAACAGUACGUGAAAUUGUUGAAAGGGAAACGCUUGAAGUCAGUCGCGUCGACCGAGACUCAGCCUUGCCUUGGCUUGGUGUACUUCUCGGCCCGACGGGUCAGCAUCAAUUUUGUCCCUCGGAUAAUGGCAGGGGAAAGGUGGCACCUUUACGGGUGUGUUAUAGUCUCUUGUCGCAUGCGAGGGGUGGGAUUGAGGAACUCAGCGCGCGCCUUGGUGUCGGGGCUUUGGCCCACGUCACGCGCUUAGGAUGCUGGCAUAAUGGCUUUAAACGACCC